rnacentral:ncRNA from 21 species
CUCUUAUCCAGAGUAGGUGGAGGGACUGGCCCGAUGAAACCCGGCAACCGACAUGAAAAUGCACGGUGCUAAAUCCUGCAGGAAAUACUGGGAGAUGAGAG